GAUGGUGUAGGGGUUAAGCACACAACCAUGUACGGAGGCUACAGUCCUUGAGUCGGCUGUCCUGGGUUCGAGUCCCGGACCCGGCAACA